rnacentral:rRNA from 2 species
UACGAAGGGGGCUAGCGUUGCUCGGAAUUACUGGGCGUAAAGGGAGCGUAGGCGGGUUAUCAAGUUGGGGGUGAAAGCCCGGGGCUCAACCUCGGAAUUGCCUUCAAAACUGGUAGCCUAGAGUAUGAUAGAGGUAUGUGGAACUCCGAGUGUAGAGGUGAAAUUCGUAGAUAUUCGGAAGAACACCAGUGGCGAAGGCGACAUACUGGGUCAUGACUGACGCUGAGGCUCGAAAGCGUGGGGAGCAAACAGG